GUUUCAUAUCUCUCUCUGUAUAUCUCCUCUCUCUCUCUCUCUCUCUCUCUAAUAUAUAUUUGAGAGAGAGAGAGAGAGAGAGAGGGGAGGAGAUAUACAGAGAGAGAUAUAUGU